GACGAACGCUGGCGGCGUGCCUAUACAUGCAAGUAGAACGCACAGGUUAUAACGUAGCUUGCUACACCAUAAACUGGGAGGUGCGAACGGGUGAGUAACGCGUAGGGAACCUGCCUGGGAGCGGGGGAUAAAUAUUGGGAAAGAUAGCUAAUACCGCAUAAUAUUGAUUAUUGCAUGAUAAUUGAUUGAAAGGUGCUAUUGCAUCACUACCAGAUGGACCCGCGGUGUAUUAGCUAGUAGGUGAGGUAACGGCUCACCUAGGCGACGAUACAUAGCCGACCUGAGAGGGUGAUCGGCCACACUGGGACUGAGACACGGCCCAGACUCCUACGGGAGGCAGCAGUAGGGAAUCUUCGGCAAUGGACGAAAGUCUGACCGAGCAACGCCGCGUGAGUGAAGAAGGUUUUCGGAUCGUAAAACUCUGUUGUAAGAGAAGAACGGGUGUGAGAGUGGAAAGUUCACACUGUGACGGUAUCUUACCAGAAAGGGACGGCUAACUACGUG
rnacentral:rRNA from 1 species